GAACGCUGGCGGCGCGUUUUAAGCAUGCAAGUCGAGCGGCAAGGGCCUUCGGGCCCCUAGAGCGGCGGACGGGUGAGUAACACGUGGACAAUCUGCCCCCCGGUCCGGGAUAGCCCAGGGAAACCUGGAUUAAUACCGGAUGAGACGGGACCUGCGAUGGCGGGAUCCGGGAAAGGCGCUACGGCGCCGCCGGGGGAUGAGUCUGCGUCCCAUUAGCUAGACGGCGGGGUAACGGCCCACCGUGGCGACGAUGGGUAGCCGGCCUGAGAGGGUGGACGGCCACAUUGGAACUGAGACACGGUCCAGACUCCUACGGGAGGCAGCAGUGAGGAAUAUUGGUCAAUGGGCGAGAGCCUGAACCAGCCAAGUCGCGUGCAGGAAGAAUGUCCUAUGGAUUGUAAACUGCUUUUGCAGGGGAAUAAAGUUCAGCACGUGUGCUGUUUUGUAUGUACUYUKCGAAUAAGGAUUSGGCUAAYUCCGUGCCAGCAGCCGCGGUAAUACGGAGGAUCCGAGCGUUAUCCGGAUUUAUUGGGUUUAAAAGGGUGCGUAGGCGGGUUAAUUAAGUCAGUGGUGAAAAGUUUGCAGCUUAACUGUAAAAUUGCCGUUGAAACUGUUAAUCUUGAGUGUAGAUAAGGUAGGCGGAAUGUGUUUUGUAGCGGUGAAAUGCAUAGAUAUAACACAGAACCCCGAUUGCGAAGGCAGCUUACCGGGCUACCACUGACGCUGAUGCACGAAAGCGUGGGGAUCAAACAGGAUUARAUACCCUGGUAGUCCACGCAGUAAMCGAUGAAUACUAGCUGUAUGCGAUAUACUGUAUGUGGCAAAGCGAAAGCAUUAAGUAUUCCACCUGGGGAGUACGUUCGCAAGAAUGAAACUCAAAGGAAUUGACGGGGGCCCGCACAAGCGGAGGAACAUGUGGUUUAAUUCGAUGAUACGCGAGGAACCUUACCCGGGCUUGAAAUGCAUCUGACGAACCUGGAAACAGGUUUUCUAGCAAUAGCAGAUGUGUAGGUGCUGCAUGGCUGUCGUCAGCUCGUGCCGUGAGGUGUCGGCUUAAGUGCCAUAACGAGCGCAACCCUUGUCGUUAGUUACCAUCAAAUAAAGUUGGGGACUCUAGCGAGACUGCCACCGUAAGGUGUGAGGAAGGGGGGGAUGACGUCAAAUCAGCACGGCCCUUACGUCCGGGGCGACACACGUGUUACAAUGGUAGGUACAGAGGGCCGCUACCCAGUGAUGGGGUGCCAAUCUCAAAAACCUAUCUCAGUUCGGAUCGGAGUCUGCAACUCGACUCCGUGAAGUUGGAUUCGCUAGUAAUCGCGCAUCAGCCAUGGCGCGGUGAAUACGUUCCCG
rnacentral:rRNA from 1 species